GCGAUCGGUGGAUGCCUUGGCACCAAGAGCCGAUGAAGGACGUUGGAGCCUGCGAUAAGCCUCGGGGAGUUGGUGAACGGACGGUGAUCCGAGGGUGUCCGAAUGGGGGAACCCCGCUGCAUGUGAUGUGUAGUGACCUGCCAUUGAAUGUAUAGGUGGUAGGGGGGAACGUGGGGAAGUGAAACAUCUCAGUACCCACAGGAA
rnacentral:rRNA from 1 species